UAGAAAUUACUUUAACUGACUUACUUUAGUUGAAGCCUCAUGGUGCAGUGGCUAAACUGCAGUCAAAACUCUGUUCAUGAUCCAGCUCCAGGUUCACUCGACCUUCCAUCCUUCCAAGUUGUUUGAUUCAUUUGGAUUAAGAGGGUUGGUGGUACUUAAAACCAGGCCUUGCCUUGACCAUAUACCCAGAAGCCUGUAUGUUCUAUUUAUCAAGAGAGCAGAUAUCUGAAAGAACUUGAAAAUGAAAGACAGCACUCCAGAAGAACCCCAAACAAAAGCAAACCGAAAGUCCCUCCCAUCAGCUGUUUUAGGGUUCAUCCUUUCCCAAGGUGGGGAGAUCCGUGUGUAUUUGUGUGUGUUUGUGCAAGCAUUGGGUGUUUAGAUAAAGCACUGGCAAAGAUCUGGAGGAAGGUAAUUCAGAGGUAAACA